GACGUAGGGGGCAAGCGUUGUUCGGAAUUAUUGGGCGUAAAGCGCUCGUAGGCGGGACAGGAAGUUCGUGUUGAAAGACCUCGGCUCAACUGAGGGACCGGCUCGAAUACUCUUGUUCUUGAGGCAAUCAGAGGGUGAUGGAAUUCCCGGUGUAGCGGUGAAAUGCGCAGAUAUCAGGAGGAACACCAAUGGCGAAGGCAGCACUCUGGGACGGUACUGACGCUGAGACGCGAAAGCGUGGGGAGCAAACAGG
rnacentral:rRNA from 1 species